UACGAAGGGGGGCUAGCGUUGCUCGGAAUUACUGGGCGUAAAGGGCGCGUAGGCGGAUCGUUAAGUCAGAGGUGAAAGCCCAGGGCUCAACUCUGGAAUUGCCUUUGAUACUGGCGAUCUUGAGUACGGGAGAGGUGUGUGGAACUCCGAGUGUAGAGGUGAAAUUCGUAGAUAUUCGGAAGAACACCAGUGGCGAAGGCGACACACUGGCCCGUUACUGACGCUGAGGCGCGAAAGCGUGGGGAGCAAACAGG
rnacentral:rRNA from 1 species